rnacentral:rRNA from 1 species
AGGAUGAACGCUGGCGGCGUGCCUAACACAUGCAAGUCGAACGUCCUUCUUCUUCGGAAGAAGGGAGUGGCGGACGGGUGAGUACCACGUGGGUUAUCUACCGUGAGGUGAGGAAUACCGGCGAGAAAUCGCCGACAAGACCGCAUAGGCUCGAUGCAAGUCGAGCAAAGCUCGCUCGCAAGAGGGAGCGCCACACGGAGGAGCCUGCGCCCGAUUAGCUGGCUGGUGGAGUAAUGGUUCACCAGGGCGACGAUCGGUAGCUGGUCUGAGAGGACGAUCAGCCACACUGGGAUUGAGAACGGCCCAGACUCCUACGGGGGGCAGCAGUGAGGAAUUUUCGUCAAUGGGGCAACCCUGAACGAGCAACGCCGCGUGCAGGAAGAAGGUUUUCGGAUCGUAAACUGCUUUUCUCGGGGAAGAGAACGGACGGUAACCCGAGGAACGAAGCCCCGGCUAACUACGUGCCAGGCAGCCGC